UUGACCUCAAAUCAGUAGACAGCCAUC
rnacentral:rRNA from 1 species